rnacentral:rRNA from 1 species
UACGGGGGGGGCAAGCGUUGUUCGGAAUUACUGGGCGUAAAGGGCUCGUAGGUGGCCAACUAAGUCAUACGUGAAAUCCCUCGGCUUAACCGGGGAACUGCGUCUGAUACUGGAUGGCUUGAGGUUGGGAGAGGGAUGCGGAAUUCCAGGUGUAGCGGUGAAAUGCGUAGAUAUCUGGAGGAACACCGGUGGCGAAGGCGGCAUCCUGGACCGGUAUUGACGCUGAGGCGCGAAAGCCAGGGGAGCAAACGGG